GGCUGCAAGAAAUGCCAGGAACAUGGCUUAUGGAGGAGCCAUGGCAACGGCCAGCGGGAUUUGUUUGGCCCAAAACGGAACAUUGAAAGGAUACCGAAUAUCAAGGGCUAGAAAUGACGCUCUAUUUUGAUACGAAAAUUGAGUUUCUGGACUCGGAUGCAGUUAGCACAAUCAGCAGCUGGCAUCCCAAUGAGCCACUGUUCGCGGUGGCCUCCUACAGCCAGGAGCGCGGCGGCAGCGUAACCAUUUUUGCGGAUACCGGCGAACCGCAGCGGGAUGUCACGUAUCCGGUGCACGCCAGCUCGCAGGCAACGGCCUUGUGCUGGCAUCCGGAGAAGGCGCUGCUGGCCACCGGUUGGGAGCAUGGCGAUAUACACGUCUGGUUUGCCGGCCAUAGGGAAUUCGCCAGCGUUAGUGGACCCCACAAGGCGGCCAUUGUGCUGCUGGAGUUCAGCGAACAGGGCGGCCGCAUGGUCACGGCGGAUGCCCUGGGCCUGGUCACCGGCUGGCGCUGCGAUGGUCAAUAUCAGUUUCUGACCAUGUUCUCGCAUGAUCUACGCGAGGCUCUGCUUCUGAUCUGCUUUCGCCGCACCGUCGAGAGCGAGCUGCGCGAGGAGAUGGCCAGUCUGGCCAAGGCAGCGGUCGCUGGCGAUGAGAAUGCGCUGGACACGCUCACCAAUUGGCGGCCGCGCACGGCGGCGCGUGGACACUCGGGUGUCCGGGACAAUCACUGCUUCUACGCGUGCACGCAGGGCGGCGUGGCCUACUACAUCAAUCAGGGCGGCAGCUGCAGCGAGGUGCUGAAGAGUGGACCUCAACAGCCGAGCAUUCUGCAGAUGCUCUGGCAUCCCAAAAAGGAUGCGGUCAUUUGCCUGCUGGAUGACUUGACCAUCACGCUGUAUUUGGUGGAGUCGACGGGUAUCUUGACGGAACUGGAGCGUGUCAAGCUGAGUGGGCGCGGCGCGAACCAACGCGGCGCCAUAGCCUGGGCGGGCAACAGCUUGGCCAUCAUUACGGGCGAUCUUACCGUGCGCAUCUGGGACAUUGAACGCAGUGAUAAUUAUCUGCUUAAAAUGGAUUUGCCCAGCUCCAGCCUGACCGCCAGCUCCUCCCUCAACAACAACAGCAACAGCAACAGCAAUGCCUUCUUCAGCCACGAGACGAGUGUGGAGAGCAACAGCAACAACAAUCUGCCACGCAAGGUGUCCAGGCACCUUCAGCUCAACUCCAACGAAAUGUUCACCUGCCUCGCCUACAGCAACAGCAAUCAGACCCUGUGCGCGGCCACCAAUCUGGGCAAUCUGUACACCUGGAAGCGCACGGUGAGCUGCUUUGUCAGCGCACCAGAGGAUGCCUGGCAGCUGGGUAACAUAUCGUCGCUGGCGCGGCAGGGCGCCAUCAAGAGCUGCUCGUGGGGCUACAAUGAGCUGGCCAAGCCAUGCAUUUUGGUCAACUGUUUGUCGAGUGUGUUUAUGUUAAAGGAGCAGCCCCUCCUGGCCAGCCACACGCGUAGCCUCUGGGCUGUGCAGUGCUCCGCAAAGUCUGUGCAGCUGACGCACUGCAGCGGACGCCAGUGUACGGUGCAGGCGGAUUUUGCGGUAACUGCGCUGGCCCUAAACGACCUCAGCCUGGUCGUGAGCAACGGACGCUCCAUAUCCUCGUACAGUCUGCAGAAGAUUGAGAAGAGCCUGGACGAGUUCGAUGAAAUACUGGAGGCCUCAGGCGCCGGUUCCAGUGCCUCGGUGAAGAGCUCGCCUGCAUUGAAUGUGCGGCUGAUGCAAACCUUUGCCGCCGAGUGUCUGGCAUUGUGCCUGCACAAUCAGAACAUAUUUUGCCUGAGCGCCAGCGAUAUAGUUAUCUAUUCCGUGGGCGGCGUUGUGCUCCACCGGUUGCUGGGCAAUGAUAUCGAGGGAAAAAUCAUUGGCAUGGAUCUAAACGGCUGCUAUCUGUCCGUGUUCACCAUGAACGGCUAUGUCAAGGCGUACGAUGUCAGCCGGCAUGAUCCGAAGCUACUAUUCCCCAGCAAAUCCGGGCACGAGAUAUUCGAUGAUUUUGGCGAGUUCAUUUUGGUCAAGUGCAACAGCUUGGGCAGUCAUCUGGCCUUGGUGAUAGCCAACAGCAGCUUUCAGCCCUGCGCUGCCGUCUACUGCUGGGACUUUGAACGCAACAAUCUCUUUGAGCACGACCUGGUCCAGCAGGAGCCUGAGAAUGCCUCGCAGAACGGCGGCAAAACCAGCCUGGCUGUGCGCUUCUUCUGGGAUACGGAAGAGCCCCGUCUGCUGGCCGUGGAGGUCAAGUCCAUGGUGAUGCUAGCGCAGAAGCCCAACGGCCGGCAGCAGAAUCAGCAACCCUCACCCAGUCACUAUGUGGAGUCGCAGGUGCUGGUUAUGUUCUACUCGGAGAAGGGCGAGGGCAAACUGAAUGUGCUCGAGUCGCAGGCGAUGAGUGCCGGCGCCCAGCUGCUCAAUCUGUGCGUGCCCAGCGUCGUCUGCCUGCAAGUGAACGCUGUGCAGGAGCAGCCGCUGAAGGAUUUCGUGGAUCUGCAGCAGUGCGAUGCCAGCACCCGACGGCAGGUGCUCAAUUUUAGCCUGCACGUGGCCGAAGGACAUAUGGACUUGGCCUUUCGCUGUGUGCGCUCCAUACAGUCCAAGGUGAUAUGGACGAAUCUGGCCAAGAUGUGCGUGCACACCAACCGCCUGGACGUGGCCAAGGUGUGCCUUGGCCACUUGGAACAGGCACGCUCAGUGCGCGCUCUUCGCCAGGCCAUCGAGGAUGAUGAUCUUGAGCCGGAGGCCAAGGUCGCCGUGCUGGCCAUUGAGCUGGGCAUGAUUGACGAGGCCAAGGAGUUGUAUAAGCGCUGCAAGCGCCACGAUCUGCUUAACAAGCUUCUGCAGGCCACCGGCCAGCUGGACGAGGCGCUCCAAGUGGCCGAAACGGAGGAUCGCAUCCAUCUGAAGCACACGUAUUACCAGAAGGCGCAGGCACUGCGCGAACGCGGCGACAUCAAGGGCGCCCUGGAGUACUACGAAAAGACACAGAAUCCCGUGCAGCAUAUCACACAGCUGCUGCUCGAGAAUCCCAUGGCCAUGAAACGUUACAUACAAACCACCAGCGAUCCCAAAAUGCUCAAGUGGUGGGGCCAAUAUGUGGAGAGCUCCGGCGACAUGGAUGCCGCGCUGGCCGUGUACAGCAAAGCUGAUGAUUGGUUCUCGCAGGUGAAGAUACUCUGUUAUCUGGGUAAGAUCUCCAAAGCGGAUGCCAUAGCCAGACAGUCGGGCGAUCGCGCCGCCUGUUAUCAUCUGGGCAGGCAUUACGAGAACGUGGGCAAGUUCCAGGAGGCCAUCAUGUUCUAUACGCGCGCCCAGACCUUCAGCAAUGCCAUACGCAUCUGCAAGGAGAACGACUUCCAGGAGGAGCUCUGGACGGUGGCCAGCUCGUCGCGUAGCCGCGACAAGGCCAUCGCGGCGGCCUACUUCGAAGAGUGCGGCAAUUUUAAAUAUGCCGUCGAGCUGUACCAUCGCGCCGGAAUGCUCCACAAGGCGCUGGAAAUGGCCUUUGAGUCACAGCAGCCAGAGAUACUGGAGAUUAUUGCCACAGAGCUGAGCACCGAGUCGGAUGCGGAACUGAUCAAUCGCUGUGCGGACUUCUUCGCCAGCAUCGAGCAGCACCAAAAGGCCGUUCAAUUGCUGGCCAAGACCAAGCAUCUGGAGCGCGCUCUGGCUAUUUGCCUGGAGAAGGGCGUGCCGGUCACCGAGGAGCUGGCCGAUCUGCUGACGCCCAACAAGGCGGACUUCGAUGAACCGACACGCAUCGGCAUCCUGGUGCAGCUGGGCGAGCUACUGCAGCAGCAGGGCGACUACCACAGCGCCACCAAAAAGUUCACCCAGGCCGGCGACAAGGUGCGCGCCAUGAAAUCGCUGCUCAAGUCCGGCAACACCGAGAAGAUCAUCUUCUUCGCGACGAUGUCGCGACAGCGCGAGAUCUACAUCAUGGCCGCCAACUAUCUGCAGGCUCUAGACUGGCAGAGCGAUGGCAACAUCCUGAAGCACAUCGUCAGCUUCUAUGGCAAGGCGCAGGCCUACGAUUCGCUGGCCAAUUUUUAUGCCAUUUGCGCACAGAUCGAGAUCGAGGAGUAUCAGGACUAUGAGAAGGCGCUCACGGCCAUGCAGGAGGCGUCCAAGUGCCUGGAGAAGCUCAGCCACGCCCAGCACGCCUACAAUAAUCUGCAGCGCACCGUCGCGGACGUCAAGAGCAUACUGGAGAUACAGCAGGCUCUGCGUGCCGGCGAAAAUCAGGCCGUUAUCAACGCCUGUCGCAGCAUGUUGCUCAAGCCCGAGCAGCCGCCCAUACGCCACUCGCACAUACUGGCGAUGCUGGUGCGUGCAUUGGUCUAUGCCAAACAGUAUCCGGAGGCAGGGCGAGCACUUAAGGAGUUGGCCGUCAAGGAUAACUCGUGGAGCGCAUCGGGUUUGGUGGACAGGGCGCUGGUGCAGCGGGUUGCCAAGGAAUGCGAUUUGGAUUUUGAUCUGAUUUGGAACUCGGGACGCCAAGUGACCGCCUCGACAGCAGGAACGGCAACAGCAGCCACCACAAUAUCAAUGACAACAACGACAACAAACACAGCGAACAGCGAUGACGAGGCAGAUGACGAGGAAAUCAGGGAAGAGCUGCACUGAACUGGCAACAAGUCAAAGCUCUCGACCAGCAAUAGCUAUGAGUAAUGAGAGGAAGCUACGAUAAUCUAUAAAUCAAGCUAUGACCAACCCACAUCAAGUCAACUAAAAGAUCCGUAUCAGCUGCUGAACGCUGCCUCGCACCGAUUGGUCGCCCAGGGCUCGGGCGGCCAGAUACAGCUGUG
rnacentral:misc_RNA from 1 species